GACGAACGCUGGCGGCGUGCCUAAUACAUGCCAGUCGAGCGGACGGAUGGGAGCUUGCUCCCAGACCGUCAGCGGCGGACGGGUGAGUAACACGUGGGCAACCUGCCUGUAAGACUGGGAUAACUCCGGGAAACCGGGGCUAAUACCGGAUAACUCUUUCCCUCACAUGAGGGAAAGCUGAAAGAUGGCAUCUCGCUAUCACUUACAGAUGGGCCCGCGGCGCAUUAGCUAGUUGGUGAGGUAACGGCUCACCAAGGCGACGAUGCGUAGCCGACCUGAGAGGGUGAUCGGCCACACUGGGACUGAGACACGGCCCAGACUCCUACGGGAGGCAGCAGUAGGGAAUCUUCCGCAAUGGACGAAAGUCUGACGGAGCAACGCCGCGUGAGUGAUGAAGGUUUUCGGAUCGUAAAACUCUGUUGUCAGGGAAGAACAAGUACCGGAGUAACUGCCGGUACCUUGACGGUACCUGACCAGAAAGCCACGGCUAACUACGUG
rnacentral:rRNA from 1 species